GAUGAACGCUGGCGGUAUGCCUAACACAUGCAAGUCGUACGAGAGUUUUUAACUCUAGUGGCGGACGGGUGAGUAACACGUGAGAAUUUGCCUUUAGGAGGGGGAUAACAAUUGGAAACGAAUGCUAAUACCCCAUAUGCUUUUGAGUGAAACGGAUUUAUCCGCCUAGAGAGAAGCUCGCGGCUGAUUAGCUUGUUGGUAAGGUAAGAGCUUACCAAGGCGACGAUCAGUAUCUGGUUUGAGAGGACGAUCAGACACACUGGAACUGAGACACGGUCCAGACUCCUACGGGAGGCAGCAGUGGGGAAUUUUCCGCAAUGGGCGAAAGCCUGACGGAGCAAUACCGCGUGAGGGAAGACUGCCUAUGGGUUGUAAACCUCUUUUUUCUAGGGAGGAAUAAAUGACGUGUACCUGAAGAAUAAGCAUCGGCUAACUCCGUG
rnacentral:rRNA from 1 species